UACGUAGGGUGCAAGCGUUGUCCGGAAUUAUUGGGCGUAAAGAGCUCGUAGGCGGUUUGUCGCGUCUGCUGUGAAAACUCGGGGCUUAACCCAGGGCCUGCAGUGGGUACGGGCAGACUAGAGUGCGGUAGGGGAGACUGGAAUUCCUGGUGUAGCGGUGAAAUGCGCAGAUAUCAGGAGGAACACCGGUGGCGAAGGCGGGUCUCUGGGCCGUAACUGACGCUGAGGAGCGAAAGCGUGGGGAGCGAACAGG
rnacentral:rRNA from 1 species